GGAGAGGUGGCUGAGUGGUCGAAAGCGCCGGUUUGCUAAAUCGGUGAAGGGGUCAAACCCUUCCGCAGGUUCGAAUCCUGUCCUCUCCGCUA
rnacentral:tRNA from 1 species